GUGAAUUAACCCACCCCUUCAUUUGGACUGCUCAGGCGGUGGGCUGCAAUCCAGCGUUGGCCUACAAGUAAUGUCUGACCAGACUGACUGCCAUUGACCUGAUGGCAAUGCCACCCCCCGAUAUGGCUCCAGUCACAACUGGGAGAGUUCGGAGCCGUGAGCAGCUGCUCCCCGCUGCAGUUCCCAGCCACGGCAGUGUCACGCUGUGCUUCACCGGAGCACUGCCUGCCGCGUGAAGAUGCACCAUCAACCUUUUGAAAAAUGGGUGAACUUGAGCGAAAUUUGGCUGGAGAUCUCCGUGAUGCCCACCUGACCUCACGGCCUCACUGUCAGAAGGCACUCGAGGUUGAGGGCCAGGUGUGUGCAUCCCAACUUCACUCCAUCUGAGCUUCACAUGCUCCAGGGCACGCUGGAGUUCGCUGCUGGAACACGCGUGUGCACCGGCGUCGGAGCACGGCCGCGCUGUACCUCCUGUCCGGGCAGAGCGGGCACCAGCCCGCACGAGGGGAAAAGCACGGAAGGGAAGAGCCGCGAGGAACCCGAAGACGGGACAAGGACGCCUUCUCACCCCGCCUGUGAACCUCUUCAGUUCAGCACCUGACCCUUUCUCCCUACACCUCACUAAGAGCCACCUGCCCCUCUGCCCUCAGCACCUCUUCCAGCCUUCAAAACUCUCAGAGCAUCUUCAGAUGACUGCUCAGCCUGUGUCCUGCCUGUGAAUCAUCCAUGGAAUUGGGACAUGAUCCCUGCUACUGACUCUUCAGCACUCAAAGAUAAGAGAGCUCAGGAGCAUCCUGCGCCGCUGGGUUUGUUGGUGCUGUGGUUUGAACCUGAAUUAUAGCACUGGUCAGAGGACAGGUGUGCAGGAGGCUUAUCAGGAGGGGGUUUGAAAUCUUAAAUGGAUCUUUUUGCAUUUCCUUUAGCAAUCUGGUCUUUUUUAAUAAUCACUGAGCCAUGAUGACAAGGGCAAAACUAAUGUAUAUACGGCAUUGUAUUUACAUUGUUUGGUGCGUAGCAAGCUUUUGCUUUCAUACAAACCAAAGGAAGAAUGCACUUGCUGUGGUAACUGAUUUGCCAGAGCUAAUGAACCUGAUUCAACUCUUCAGUUUGAUUUGUCUUUUUAACAUACUUGGUAGCAGGCAACCUUAUGACCCCUCAGGGAAAUUAAAACUCUAAAGCUCAUAUGUCUGGCCUUUUCUGUCAAAACAGUGUUGUCAUUGAGCUAUUGCUCUUUCUCUUACAGGCUAAAAUUAAACUCCAAAGCCAAUAAGAUCCUCAAUGGAGUUUGUUCAGUUUAGCUGGUUGGUUGGUUUUUAACUAAACACAGAAAUCUCAAAAUGACAAAUCAAUAUCAUUUAACUAAAAAUUUAAAAAGAAAACACAUAAAUGAACCCAUGGAAUCGGGGAGUUUUUCUGACAGCUACAACUAAAAUUCAAGUUCCUUUAGCCCCCAGACACACAGGCAUAUACAUGAUUUUUUUUUUUAAUGUGCAGUGUGAGAUGCUUUACAUACAUUUACAGAAGAGAUUGUGUAGGAAAUUUUAAGAGACAAAUUGCAAUUAGGUGCUAAAUUCUCACAGGCAAUGGAAGAUUUCCCCUGUGUGAUUAAUGGUUAUUCUGCAAAUGUGUCUCUUCUUCCUUAGCUGUUAAAUUCUCUGUUUAUGUUUAAAUUCAUGUUUUCUGUUUUAAUUUAUAUUUUAUGCUUCUUCUCCAUAUGUGGGUGAGGACUCUUUAGCCUCAUUUUGUGGAAGCUGUGUUUAAGAUACUGUGCUGCCUCUUUGAGCAUGAGACCUCUCUGUGAAUCUUCAAAUGCUUAAGCUCAUUGAGCACAUUUGAGAGGUAUUGAAAUCCAAAAACUAUUAAGUCCUUUAAAGUAUUCUGAAACUAGGCAACCAGUUAAGAGCUGUGGUUAAUGCUUCAGGGAGGUAAAAAGUGCAACACUUCAUAUGAGACCUCAAAGUCCAGAUAGGGUCUCAACCUCAAGACACAAAUCCAUACAAAAUCAGGCUUCAUUGAUCCCCCUGCUUAGAGAACCACUACAGAAAUAAGAGAGAGAGAGAGACAGAGUUUUCUAUAGCAUAUACAUCCCUAGAGUGUCUACUCAGCUUUCGUAUGAGGGAGCUACUGUAAUGUAAUGACUUUCUCAUAUGAUUAUAUUAUCAUUUGCAAAAAGAGAUAUUUGCAUAUAUGUGUACACAGAUAUGAAAGGUCGCCUUUUUUUUUUUAAUUACACUGCCAGUAUCUCUCACUGCCUCCAUGUGAACAGACCUUAGCCCCAUAUAAUCUCUUUGAUGAAGGAAAAAUACAAAACCACAUGCCAAACAUUUUGAGUUUUCAGCAUAGACCUGGAUCUAUGUUGACAAGCUUUUCCCAGGGAUAGUAACAUCAGUAAAAUAUUUUCAUUCCAAUUUCCUGAGAGGUUGGAAAAAUCAACAAAAGAAUAGCAUGAGAUAGAUUGCCAGAAAUAAUAUUACCAUUUUAGACAUGAAACCAUCUCACAACAUCAUGUGAGUAUUGAAAUGCUUUAAAACAUUUUCUUUAAUUUGAUUUGUUUGUAUUUGUUCUGGGUUUUGUUUUCUUUUAACUAUGCCUGAUUUUUCUCGCUGAAUAAGAGGAUUGCAGCUGUUGAACAGAAACAGGGAGGCAGAUGACUGCAAAAGAGGAUCGUGUCUGAUUGGGGGUUCAGAAGACAGUCUGCACUGUACAAGGGAUGGUGUAGGUUUGCUUAGUGACCAGGUAGGUUUCUCUGGUAUUGUUAAGAAUAACAUUAAAGGCAGUGAUGUUCAGCCAUACCAGCACCAGCAGAGGUAAUGAGGCUGUGGACAAAUCCAGGUGGCUUUGUCCUUUCCAUUUGGGUGGUGCUAAAGCAGGGAAGGUUCAAUCCAGCAAGUCUGCAGGCAUAAGCAGAAGUCCAGGGAGAGAUACUGCCUUCCACAUCUGCCAGUGCAGGAAGUGCCUAGGGUACAGUAAAUGGCUUGGAAUGGAUCUACACAAGGGCAUUUUCAACUCUGUGUCCAGAGCUACAGCUUGAUGAGCCUUCAGAUCUCACACCAACAGCACUCCUGGGAUUCCUGACUAUUCAGUUGUCCUGUGGGACAUCUAUUCAAAGGGACUGUGGGAAAACAUGAUCAAAGCAAUCUUGUUGUUCAAGGAAGUAGCAGACAGCAAGGGGGCAAGGCUGGGGAAGGAGAGGUGUCUGGCCAAAACAGGUCUCCCUGUGCUGAGAUAUCCAGCACACCUGGAGAAAAGAAGAAAUUGUCUUUAUCCUGCCUGUCAUAAUCUGCUCCCCUUUCAGCCUCCUCUAACUGUUUACAAGCACCUCUGGAGAUUUCUGAAAGGUAACAGGAGUCGGGGAGUUAAAGAAUUUGGGAUAGCAAACCACUUUUCCCUAAGAUGUCAACAUAGAUCCAGUUGAGAUCACCCACAGAAGAUUACGGAUGUUGGCUUGUGGAGAGGUGGGCUUUACUGGAACCUCAGCUACAGAGGUGUACUUCUACAUGAGAGCAGUUCUAGCUCUGGGGUCUACAUGCAUUUAUCUGUCUGAAAUGUGUUUAGAUUACCUGGAGCAGCCAGAACUGUAAAGCAAGACUCUUACAGUCCAGUCUCCCAACAAGCCGCCAUCAGCAGCCAUGUAAAACCUGCAGGAAGAGAGUCACAGUAAGCACUGGGCAUUGUACAUGCAAAAGGCAUGAGAUGAAUCUUUCUUUCCCACAAGAAAAAACUGUUCCCUCUCACUGAAGCCCUGGAAAAAUGCCUUUUUUGUCCUUUGCCUGCAAGACAUUUACAGUAUUUUCUGAAAAUUGGAUACGCUACUGUUGGUAAACAGUGUUAUGUCUGUAACUGUAAUGAAAUAAAAUUGUACAUUCAUAUAAAUAACCUUUUUCUAGCAAAAUACCAAACCAAAUUAAUCUAAUUAACAAGUUGAUAUUGAACAUAGUAACUUACAGACAAGCAAUUCGUAAACUAUCUAACAACGUAUUAAGCAAACAACAGCAUUUGUCAAAGGAAAUUUAAGACAUUCUGCCAACUAGAGGACUUGGCUAAACUAAUACAUUUGUAGCUGGAUCUAAUUAUUGAAUUAGAGCUUCUAAAAUGCUGUUAUGGCAGCCUGCCUGGACUGUUGUGGUUAGACAAUAGCAAUUCUUCCCUUUUCUUCCAGUGUUUUCAUUCAUUUGCAGCAUAAUUUUUGAAGAAUAGAGCUUGGAAGCCAGUCCAGCAUCCCACAUCACAAUUAACAGUCAAACCUAUAGGAUAAUAAAUAGGACAUACAUUAUUGCCCCAACCUUACACUGCCUCAAUACAGUCAGAUGUUUACAGCUAGAUACUUAUUUCUAAACAUUGUCCUAGGCAGCAAUUCUAAAGAAAAAAAUCCCUAACAGACACUACAGAAAAAAAAAAUAUUAAAUUACAUAUUUGAGUUUCUCUUUCCCAAUUCUUGCCAAACUGUAUUAGUCUCAGGCAGAUAGAUCUGCAGUUUAAUUAAGACCUAGGUAGCUUUCUGGUAAUAAUAAACUAAUGGACUGGUAAACUACUUUUACUGGUGUGUGGUGACUCGAUCUCUAACACUGUUUGGUUCUUCUGACUUGUUAGAAGAGGAAAUAGUAAAUACCUGUUGUGAACCUUUCAAAGGUUAAAGUGUCUCACUUCCCACAGAUUUUCAACAAGCUAAUAAAAGGCACCUGGGAAAAGGGGAAUGUAGGUGGCUGGAGAAGGCUGAUAAAAAUAGGAUGAAAUGUAGUGAGUGCUUCCCAAGCUUGUAUUAGGUUUGUAUUACAAGCCAAGAACAUCUUCCUAUCAGCUUUCACUGAAGCUGACAGUCAGUAAGAACAGAUUACUAAUUUAGUAAUUCAUGAAAAAUUCUAUUUUGGCAAGUGAGAAUGCUGUCUGAACGGGAAGUUAUUAAAACUAAUUGGGUCAUGUAAAACCAGACAGUUUGUCUGUGAGCCCCACUAACAAAGCUGAGCCAGCUUGGGGAAUGGCUGAGAACUUACUCUGUUUUAGAGCUUUGAAGCACACUGGAUCUCAUUAAAAAACAAAUAAACGCAUUUCAAAUGGAGAACAAUG